UCUCCUCUAGAUAAGUUCUAUUAUUCACAUUGAUAUACUGUUGGGUACCCCUCUGCCCGUUACGCCAGGACCUGAGCUUGGUAGGAGUAAUUCAUAAGGUGCAAUUCCAGGCCCACAACGGUUGCUAAGUUUCGGAUCAGCGUUUCUCCUUUCAAUCUCUUUUUCAAUCUUCUUUAUCUCCAUUGAGAAUUUGUAGAAUGCUUCAAUGAUCUCAGUGUCACCUCCCCAUGCUGAAAGGUCUUUCCUACCACCAAUAUAUUGCUCAUCCGUUGCAUGCGUGGAAAGUAUAUCAAGCACAGACAUGAAAUAUGUCGUUUCAGGAAGACUUGGCAGUGAAGAUAAGAAAUGCCCUUGUGGGUCUGCAAGAAAAUUUGCAUUUCCUUGAUUAGGCAACAGCCUUCGCAUAUAGGGUGGCCUAACUGGGAUGUACCCACCAUAAUGAUAUUGCCCAAAAUUUAAUGCUGCGUGCUGUGCUGUUACAAUCCAUAGGAUGGUAGUAAGGAAAGAGGUGAGGUCCUCUGGAGUUGAGAGUUUGGGCCACCAAUCGGCAUGAGAAACAUCAGCAUGACCCACGUUGAUGAACUCAUUAUAGCAGGCUUGAAGCUCAGUAUCAUAUUGGACUAAACUUGCCUCUGGAUAAUAAUAGUUCACAUAGGUUCUAACCAAUGUCUCAAUGGCCGACCAUAUAAGAAGUCCAUCGUUGGCAUAUGGAUAAUCUUCGAUAAGCAAUCUCAACCCAUGUUUCCGGGUUGGGUCAGGCUCUGCCAGUCCUCUAAAAGGAAAUGCAACCGAGGUAGCAUUAGCUUUCAGCAAG
rnacentral:misc_RNA from 1 species